UUUGCACUACUUUUAAAUCGUUCCCUGCAUGUGUACACAAACACAUACACAUUGUACUUGGUUUUUAUAUUUACACUAAAACCACCCAACCACCUCUAUGAGAUGGAAUUUCCAGUUAUUCAGAGAUUCUUUCCUUCCUCUUUUCCUAUCUAAGUAUGCCAAGCUCCUAACUUUGAGACAUACUUUCAGUAAAUUAUUAUUUUCCUCUUCUAAUUUAUUUAUGGCUUCCUUUAUCUCACUUUUAGUUGGUUAAAGUUGUCUUAAUGUCUUUAACUGUCUUACCUCAAUAUUUCUUUGAAAAUACAUUUGUGAUUAACCUCACCUGCUGGUUUCAUGCUACUCAGUUACACAAGAGGCAAGUUAGUAUACCAAAGGAAGCAUGGUGGCUGUUGACACAACCAUGGCUGUCUGGAGGUCUAGGUAACAUAAUCUUGAUUUCAGUUGUUUAAGACCUACUAGAGAAAGUAGUGUCCUAGUUUGGUAAUACACUAACCAAAAGGCAAGUUGGGGAGGAAAAGGUUUAUUCCUCCAUCCAAGGAAGGCAGAGCAUGAACCUGGAGGCAAGACUGAAGCAGAAAUGCAGAGAAAGCUGCCUGUGUAUAGGCUUGUUGUCCACUGUGGAUUGGCUUUCUUACGCAGCCUUGAACUGUUUGCCCAUAUUUGGCACUGUUUUACUACAGUGGGCCCUCCCAUGUUAGUCAUCAAUCAAGAAAAUGCUUUACAGAUGCCCACACGCCAAGCUGUUCUUUGCAGGUCUUCAAUUGAGGUUCCCCCUUCUCGGGUGACUUUUUUUUUUAAGGUGUAUUUAUUAUAUCUAAGUACACUGUAGCUGUCUUCAGACACACUAGAAGAGGGCAUCAGAUCUCAUUACAGAUGGUUGUGAGCCACCUUGUGGUUGCUGGGAUUUGAACUCAGGACCUUUGGAAGAGCAGUCAGUGCUCUUAACCUCUGAGCCACCUCUCCAGCCCACUCAGGUGACUCUUAUAAGUUUGUGUCAGCUUGGCAAAAAAUAAACCACAGUCAAAGCAAACAUUCAUCUUAAAAUAACACCCCCACCCCAAAAAAGCAAAGUAACAAUACC
rnacentral:lncRNA from 1 species